rnacentral:rRNA from 1 species
UCGAGAGGCUUCGUCAAUGGGGGCAACCCUGAACGAGCGACGCCGCGUGGGUGAUGAAGGCCUUACGGUCGUAAAGCCCUGUCAGAGGGGAAGAAAUGCCGUAAUGAUAAUACCAUUGCGGCUUGACGUUACCCUCAAAGGAAGCUCCGGCUAACUCCGUGCCAGCAGCCGCGGUAACACGGGGGGAGCGAACGUUGUUCGGAAUCACUGGGCGUAAAGGGCGCGCAGGCGGCCUGGUAAGUGGGAUGUGAAAGCCCCUGGCUCAACCAGGGAACUGCAUCCCAGACUGCCGGGCUUGAGGACGGGAGAGGAAACGGGAAUUCCCGGUGUAGCGGUGACAUGCACUGAUAUCGGGAGGAACACCAGUGGCGAAGGCGCGUUUCUGGCCCGCUCCUGACGCUCAGGCGCGAAAGCUGGGGGAGCAAACAG